rnacentral:misc_RNA from 1 species
AGAUUAGCCGAUGGGAUUACCAAGGGAAGCUCAGAUUCGCGGGAAAGCUCGCGACAACCUUGAGCGAGCGCAUUCCUCCCCUUGGAUGGGGUUAUUCGGAGGAACGACAAAGCUCUCGGAGUUGCGCAAAUACGGGUGUUCGUCAAAGGAUACUUUCGAGCGACCGCAGCUGUUGGAUCGAGCUUCCGUGUGGCGAAAACGUUGGUCGAGUCGAAGUUGCGGCUACAGAUUUCCUACUUCCUCCUUUUUCCACGCUCGCAUUACGUGACCUCUUUCAUAGAUCCGAAUGGGUUCUAGACCGUUCGGAAAUAAUACUCCGUGAGUAGGUUAUUUAUAACCGCGACAACGGACCGGACGUCUGAUCUACCAGCUCCUAGCCGCGUUGCGUCAGCCGUCUUCUCAAAGUAUAUUUUUUCGCCCGUGGAAACUGCUCGGCCGACCUUCGCGUAUGCAGAAAUCGCGCCAGGGUGCUUUCUCGGAUCUCGAAUAAAAGAAGAAUGCCAACGAAGAUGGAAGAAGGCGAACGGUGGGGCGCGAUAACGGCGGGAAACUCGAUCGAGCGAAAUCAACGGACGAAAAAAGAAUAACACGGCUGCCGAAGCGUAAAUUGAUCAUAGUGAUCUAUAAGCGGUAUACGAAACAGAGCAGCCUCGUUUGGAAUAUAGGACAAGCGAAGAAAUCUGCGCAAAAGUGGAAGAAAAGAAGAGGCAACAAAAAAAAAGAAAGGAAAAGCGCGAGCUCACGGAAGGGUGAAAUAGUCAACCGCGUUCGGCAUACAAAUCGCUGGGCGUAUCCGCAUGCUGUGGCCGCCACCAGUCUCGCAGCAGUGAUAUUCAAUCUACGAUUCUUUAAGCCGGCUCAUCCCUUAUUCCGACUAGAAAAGAAGCGUGUGUAGGAAGGGCAACUGAUAGAGAGAAGCCGGAGUCGCGGGAGAAGGGGUGGCGGCUUAACCGGCAGGGAAAACACAUGUUAUCGACAGGCUGUCUUUUUUUUGUUGGCUCGUUCGUGGCGGAGGUUGAAAUCGAGGUUAAAAAGAAAACGAGAGGAGGUAAAAAAAGGGGGAGUUUGGAGGGGGAUCCUAACUCCAACUUUUUACCGAGUUUUUAACGAGAUACCGAAGCGUUUUCCACGGGAUAGUAGAAAAGGGUAGACGAGUCGAGUGGAGAGAGACCCGGAGAAUCGUGUUUCUCGGAACGCUGCGUCGCAGUUUAGGCUGCUUUUUUCCCCUACUUUCGCGCAGGCUUUCUGAUAACAAGGAGCGAGGUUC